GGGGGUGUUCUGGAUUCGACCCUUGGUUGGAGCGCGCCGCUGCCGUUCGAGGAUGAAGGUUGGCCUCGUAAAUCGUCCUUCAAAAAAAUAAUAGGCACAUACGAAGAAAUGCCAUUGGCCGCCUAAGUGCGGCCUCGUUUGUCCAGUGACACCUGCUAGCUGAAACAAACGUCGACAGCAGGAAUAGCGCGCGGAGCGACCCGCGGUUUGCGCGCUGUACUUCGCCCGGGGGUUGGUUGGUGCUUAAGCGCGUGAAGCCGCGUAUCACCAGCGAGAUUAAUACUUCACUAUAACGGAAGAUGCGGUGUGCAAAGCCCAGGGGCACGUGGGUUCAACUCCCACCACCUCCACCA
rnacentral:tmRNA from 1 species